rnacentral:rRNA from 1 species
GAUGAACGCUGGCGGUGUGCCUAAUACAUGCAAGUCGAGCGAACAGACGAGGAGCUUACUCCUCUGACGUUAGCGGCGGACGGGUGAGUAACACGUGGAUAACCUACCUAUAAGACUGGGAUAACUUCGGGAAACCGGAGCUACUACCGGAUAACAUGUUGAACCGCAUGGUUCAACAGUGAAAGACGGUCUUGCUGUCACUUAUAGAUGGAUCCGCGUCGCAUUAGCUAGUUGGUAAGGUAACGGCUUACCAAGGCAACGAUGCGUAGCCGACCUGAGAGGGUGAUCGGCCACACUGGAACUGAGACACGGUCCAGACUCCUACGGGAGGCAGCAGUAGGGAAUCUUCCGCAAUGGGCGAAAGCCUGACGGAGCAACGCCGCGUGAGUGAAGAAGGUCUUCGGAUCGUAAAACUCUGUUAUUAGGGAAGAACAAAUGUGUAAGUAACUAUGCACGUCUUGACGGUACCUAAUCAGAAAGCCACGGCUAACUACGUG